UUACAGACAAAGAUCUGAUUGGUUCCACCUGGUAGACUAACAAGAUGGCCGACUGUACCCCGUUCCGGGUCUGACACUUUCUGACGUUUGACGUCUCCACCUCCAGUAGUUUUUAUUUUCUGAAAAUGAACCGUGUUCCCGUCUCGGGGGCGUGUAGACCCGACAGGCCGAGAGGACCGUCACGACAGACGCCCGGCACAGUGCCGCCUGCUCCGUCUGGCUUCUCCCUGGUGACCGUGUGCCGAGUUCACGGUGUCUGUGUGCUGACGCUCCUCUGGCCCUUUAACACGGAGCCAACUAGUCCUGGAGUGCACGCUCGGCUCUGCUAGCAGAGUGAGGAGUAUUAAUACUGAGUCACCUUUGACCCCUGCCAGAGUAUUAGUGCUGAGUCACGGCUCUCCUAGCAGAGUAUUAUUAAUGCUAAGUCAGCUUUGACCCCUGCCAGAGUAUUAAUGCCGAGUCACAGCUCUGAUAGCAGAGUUAGUAUUAAUACUGAGCCACCUUUGACCCCUGCCAGAGUAUUAAUGCUGAGUCACGGCUCUGCUAGCAGAGUGAGUAUUAAUGCUGAGUCACCUUUGACCCCUGCCAGAGUAUUAAUACUGAGUCACGGCUCUGCUAGCAGAGUGCACGUCCUCACGAUUCUGUCCGCUAACUGGGCUUCCCUGCAGGCCGCCCGCGACCUCCCAGCAAAGCGGGACCAGGAGCUGCAGGACGUCCGCUCUCCGUCCACACAGCAGCCCCACACUCACCCGUAG
rnacentral:lncRNA from 1 species